rnacentral:rRNA from 1 species
UACGUAGGGUGCAAGCGUUGUCCGGAAUUAUUGGGCGUAAAGAGCUCGUAGGCGGUCUGUCGCGUCUGCUGUGAAAACCUGGGGCUUAACUCUGGGCGUGCAGUGGGUACGGGCAGACUAGAGUGCAGUAGGGGAGACUGGAAUUCCUGGUGUAGCGGUGAAAUGCGCAGAUAUCAGGAGGAACACCGGUGGCGAAGGCGGGUCUCUGGGCUGUAACUGACGCUGGAGGAGCGAAAGCCAUGGGGGAGCAAACAGG